CCGGUGAAGAGGAAGAAUGAGAGGGUUCAAGGGCAGUGGGAAUGGGAACAUGGAGGAAAGCAUGAGCUCUAAAUUUCUUUCAAAGGGGAGAUUUGGCUUUGUGUUUUCCUGAUGCCUCCCAUUCCUAUUGUUCUUGGGCACUCCUUCCUCUUCCUUCUUGGC
rnacentral:pre_miRNA from 1 species